ACCUGACGCAGCAACGCCGCGUGUGUGAUGAAGGUCUUCGGAUUGUAAAGCACUUUCGACCGGGACGAAAACCCGUUGGCUAACAUCCAACGGCUUGACGGUACCGGGAGAAGAAGCACCGGCUAACUCUGUGCCAGCAGCCGCGGUAAUACAGAGGGUGCAAGCGUUGUUCGGAAUUAUUGGGCGUAAAGCGCGUGUAGGCGGCUUUGCAAGUCGGGUGUGAAAGCCCUCAGCUCAACUGAGGAAGUGAGCCCGAAACUGCAGAGCUUGAGUGCCGGAGAGGGUGGCGGAAUUCCCCAAGUAGAGGUGAAAUUCGUAGAUAUGGGGAGGAACACCGGUGGCGAAGGCGGCCACCUGGACGGUAACUGACGCUGAGACGCGAAAGCGUGGGGAGCAAACAGGAUUAGAUACCCUGGUAGUCCACGCCGUAAACGAUGAGAACUAGGUGUCGUGGGUGUUGACCCCCGCGGUGCCGUAGCUAACGCAUUAAGUUCUCCGCCUGGGAAGUACGGUCGCAAGACUA
rnacentral:rRNA from 1 species